CUGAAACAGAUCUAGUCUUAUUCACCGCCAUUUUUUCUCCUUUCUCUGCUGUUCCUCUAUUCCUCUUUUCUGUCAGUUUCAAUUUCAAGAGAUUUAAGCUUAAUUCUAAGAGAGGGAUUCAUAGAAAAUUAAUACUGAUGUUGAUGGAGCCAUAGUUGAUUGAACACAUAACUGUGUUGAGGGAGAGAGUUCUAAGAAAAAGGUGAUGUUUUUACAGAUAAGAUUAAGGUUUCAAUGAGAAUCGAUGUUGGAGAUAAAGAUCAUGAGUCUGAGAUUUAGAGAAAUGGAAUGGAAUCAGGGACAAUUGAUGGUUAUGGUGUCAAUCCGUGUGUUGAUUCAAACUCAACAGAAAGAUAAAGAGGACGAGAUAAUAGUUGUGGUUCGAAGAAGAUUUGAUGUUGUUACAAGUUAGGGUUAGUGAUUGCGUUUGGGUUCUGAAGAAUGUAGAAGAACAAAGAAAUCAGAGAACAAUUGAUGAUGGUUAGAUCAGUGAUUGAAGAGACCUAUUGAACUUGUUGUGACCACUUAUCAGGCUUCUCUGUUGUUGUUGUUCAAUUCGUCAGAUAAGCUAACUUACUCAUAAAUCUUGUCACAACUGAAUUUGUCGGAUGAUGAUGUUGUAAGGCUGCUUCAUUCCCUUUCAUGUUCAAAAUACAAGAUCCUUGCGAAGGUACCUAACACGAAAACAAUCUCUCAGAAGGAUAGUUUUAUGUUUAAUGCUGAAUUUACUGAUAAAAUGAGGAGGAUCAAGGUUUGGGGGCUCACCUAGCACAUGUCAGCUCCACCAUCCGUGACAAGAUCAUCCCACAUGUUGUGUCGUGGUUCACUGGAGAAGCUGUCCCGAGUGAAGAAUUUGAUAUGGAUAUGGAUGAUGACGAGGAAGAUGAGGAUGGAGAUGACGACGAGGAAGACGAUGAUGAAGAUGAAGGAAAGAACAUGAAGAAGCCAACAUCCGGAAAGAAAAGUAGAGUUCCAGCUGCUGAUGGACAGCAAGGGGAGGGACCUCCAGAGUACAAGCAGUAGUAAGGUUUGGUUUAGCAGCAGCCAAGUAAUUCACUGCCAUUUUUUGAAUGUGUGUGCUUAACACUGGCAAGUUGAUUGUGUUGCGUAUUCGUCAUUGUUUCACUAAUGAUUCAACAAGGUUGAAUGUUGAUUGAAUAUGUUAUUAUGGACGCAAUUGCAAUACAGAAAGUCUUAAGAAAUAUGACAAGGUACAUUCCUCUGUAAAUGUCAGAAACUUCAGGUCCAAGUUGAGGGCUGAGCACAUUGAGCUCCUUAAAUCUCCUUGGCUAAUAGAGUUGGGUGCCUUUUAUAUAAAUUUCAAUGGAUCUAAUGGAGUUUCAGUCGAGUUUGUCGAUCAAUUCUCUUGUGAUUUUGAGUCAGAUCACCCUUUAAUGACAUUGAUGGUUUUGGAUUCUGUGAAGCUGGAGUAUAGCCUGACUUGCGUUGUUUGCUUGGUAACGACAUCGACGUAUAUUUGAGAUCGUUAAUAGAUGAGCUCAAGAAGUUAUGGGAGGCAGGGUUAGAUACAUAUGAUUCCUUAAGAAAUGAAAUGUUCAAUCUGCGUGCGGGAAGACUAUGGACUGUAAGUGAUUAUCCUGGACUUACAAUGCUCUCGGGAUGGAGUAAUAAAGGGAAAUUGGCAUAUACAGGUGUUUGUUUCUUUGAAUAUAAGGGAAUGGCAUGAUGCCUUUUUUUGUUUUCAUGCCAUUAGGUGUGUUCGCAGUUUGUCCCAAACUUUACACAGGCACUUUAGUUGUUUUUAAGCUUAGUUACUACCUUUUUGAACUCUCUGGGUGUUGUUCUGUUGCCCAGAUUUUUGUUUCAGAAACAGUAGAACUCAACAUGGAAAACUUCGUAAAACUUCACAAGUUUCUAUAAUUAAAUUUAGUUUCUUAUUUUAUA